CAUAAUGGACUACAAUUUCUUAUAUUUAGUUGAAGUUUCUUUUUGUUAAAAGUAACAUUUUAUUUCAUGAAUGUAGAAAGUGAUAUAAUAAAUUCAUUACAAGUUCAAGGAGAAAUUCAUAGAUGGCUAGCCAUAGUUUUAAACCUUAAGGAUAUAAUUAUAUCAAGUUGUUGCUAAGAAUAGAUGACUAUAUAUUAAUUAAAAAGAAGUAAGUUGACAGUCUUUUCGAUCUCAGUUUGUCAGUAAUUAAAAAUUAUAGAUAAAGAUAGUUUAUUCACAAAAUUGUUGUUAUCUUUUGUAUACACUACACCCAUUUUAGGUCUACGACAACACUAAAUCUGGACAACGCUUAUAAAGUGUUGCCUAAAAUACUUUUGGGGACGUUUUUAAAGUGUAGCCAAAGAUUUUGACUUUUAGUUACACUAAUAUUAGCAACACUUCUAAAGUGUACUCUUUAAUGGGAUAACCUACACUUUAUAAGUGUUGUUAUAGUUGGCAACAACUAUUUACAUAAAUGGCCACACUUUUAAAGUGUGCUAUUCUUAUAAUUGUUAAUACAACACAUGAAAAAUGUUGCCUUAGUGUUUUCCCAAAAUUUUAUAUUCCCUCUAACAUUUUAACAUUAAAAUUUGAUCUCCCUCCAUUUUUAUUUGGCCAAAAAAAUAAAACAUUAAAGAAAUAUUAAAAAUAAUAAAACAUUAAAACAACAAAAUGGGAAACAUUACUGAAACUUCAGCUGAAACUUUCACUUUCAGCUGAAGAACACAUUUUCAUCCAGAAUUGAAGAACCCAUUUGCAAGAACUGAAAAACAGGAUCGAAGAACGGAAGAAAUCGAUUUUCGUCACAAACUCUGUCAAAGUUCAGUUGAAGAACACCAUUUUCAGCCGAAGAAUCAAAGAGCAACGCGAUUCCUCUAAAGCAAACUGAAGAAGAAGAUCCUCCUCUCCGAGCUUCGUUGUUCAAGAUUGGAGAGCUGAAGAAGACGAUUUUCUUCAAAGAUUCUUGGGUAAACUGUUGUUCCAUCAGAUUUUCUUUUGAAAGUUGAAAGAAAAUGCUUCACAAAUCAACUUGCUUCAUAUCUUAAAGCUUUAGGGUUGUUGGAAUAGAGUUUAUCAGAAGCUGAAGCUAAGUCAAAAGUAUCUGAAGAACUGAGUUGUAGCUAAGUUAUCUUUCUUCGAAGAACUGAAGUGUUGAAGUUGACGAUACCUAUAAUAUUUUGUCCCUAAUAUAGAUUUCGUCAAGUCGUGCAGCCAAAGACAACAACGAAGAACCAUCAAAGCCUGAAAUAUUUAUUGCAACUCGUACCAAGACGGGAAAGGAAAUCCAGGCUGAUACCCAAGUUGCAAUAGCUGAACUUCAAAGUCGCCAAAAUUCUGGGGAAAUAGCUGAUGAUGCAUUUAGGGCAGUGUUUGGAAAGGAGCAGCCUGGUCGAGUUAGGUGCUAUGGUAGAUCAGUGACAACAAGUUCUUUGAAGAAAGAUGAGGAAAUUAACAAUCUAAAACAAAAGCAUGCCGAUGAAAUCACUUCUCUAAAGGAAGAACUGAGAGAAGAAAUGCGACAUUUAUUCACUCAAUUGCUGCAAAACAACCCUGGAUUGAAUUUUCAAGAUAUACCCGGGUGUGUUGGAUCUAACCUUUCUUCACCUAUUGAUGCAAGUAGUGCACAAGCUGUAAAAGGCACAAAUCUUCCAUAUUCUUCUGGGUCAGCUCAAGAUUCGGUUCAUCAAAAGGAAAAUGUAGGUAACUGAAUUUGAAUUUGGCCAGAAGUAAACUCGAUCCAUUGUGGCAAAAGAUGAAGAAAUUUUUGUAUUGUUGUCAUAUACGUUUGAAUGACACUUUUGGGUUUUUGGAACUUGUUGAUAUUAGAGAUCUUUAAGCAAUCACUUUCUAUGUUUUGGUUGUACAUGAAAUAUUUCUCGAAGUUUAU